GGGUUGUGAGGUUAAGCGACUAAGCGUACACGGUGGAUGCCCUGGCAGUCAGAGGCGAUGAAGGACGUGCUAAUCUGCGAAAAGCGCCGGCGAGGUGAUAUGAACCCUUGACCCGGCGAUGUCCGAAUGGGGAAACCCAGUGCAAUCCGUUGCACUAUCGUUAACUGAAUACAUAGGUUAACGAGGCGAACCGGGGGAACUGAAACAUCUAAGUACCCCGAGGAAAAGAAAUCAACCGAGAUUCCCCCAGUAGCGGCGAGCGAACGGGGAGCAGCCCGGAGUCUGAAUCAGUUUGUGUGUUAGUGGAACGGUCUGGAAAGUCCGACGGUACAGGGUGAUAGUCCCGUACACGAAAGCACACUUGCUGUGAACUCGAAGAGUAGGGCGGGACACGUGGUAUCCUGUCUGAAUAUGGGGGGACCAUCCUCCAAGGCUAAAUACUCCUGACUGACCGAUAGUGAACCAGUACCGUGAGGGAAAGGCGAAAAGAACCCCGGCGAGGGGAGUGAAAAAGAACCUGAAACCGUGUACGUACAAGCAGUGGGAGCACCUUCGUGGUGUGACUGCGUACCUUUUGUAUAAUGGGUCAGCGACUUAUAUUCUGUAGCAAGGUUAACCGUAUAGGGGAGCCGAAGGGAAACCGAGUCUUAACUGGGCGUUAAGUUGCAGGGUAUAGACCCGAAACCCGGUGAUCUAGCCAUGGGCAGGUUGAAGGUUGGGUAACACUAACUGGAGGACCGAACCGACUAAUGUUGAAAAAUUAGCGGAUGACCUGUGGCUGGGGGUGAAAGGCCAAUCAAACCGGGAGAUAGCUGGUUCUCCCCGAAAGCUAUUUAGGUAGCGCCUCGUGAACUCAUCUUCGGGGGUAGAGCACUGUUUCGGCUAGGGGGCCAUCCCGGCUUACCAACCCGAUGCAAACUACGAAUACCGAAGAAUGUUAUCACGGGAGACACACGGCGGGUGCUAACGUCCGUCGUGAAGAGGGAAACAACCCAGACCGCCAGCUAAGGUCCCAAAGUCAUGGUUAAGUGGGAAACGAUGUGGGAAGGCACAGACAGCCAGGAUGUUGGCUUAGAAGCAGCCAUCAUUUAAAGAAAGCGUAAUAGCUCACUGGUCGAGUCGGCCUGCGCGGAAGAUGUAACGGGGCUAAACCAUGCACCGAAGCUGCGGCAGCGACACUAUGUGUUGUUGGGUAGGGGAGCGUUCUGUAAGCCGUUGAAGGUGUGCUGUGAGGCAUGCUGGAGGUAUCAGAAGUGCGAAUGCUGACAUAAGUAACGAUAAAGCGGGUGAAAAGCCCGCUCGCCGGAAGACCAAGGGUUCCUGUCCAACGUUAAUCGGGGCAGGGUGAGUCGACCCCUAAGGCGAGGCCGAAAGGCGUAGUCGAUGGGAAACAGGUUAAUAUUCCUGUACUUGGUGUUACUGCGAAGGGGGGACGGAGAAGGCUAUGUCAGCCGGGCGACGGUUGUCCCGGUUUAAGCAUGUAGGCGGAGGUUCCAGGUAAAUCCGGUACCUUAUUAACGCUGAGGUGUGAUGACGAGGCACUACGGUGCUGAAGUGAUAAAUGCCCUGCUUCCAGGAAAAGCCUCUAAGCAUCAGGUAACACGAAAUCGUACCCCAAACCGACACAGGUGGUCAGGUAGAGAAUACCAAGGCGCUUGAGAGAACUCGGGUGAAGGAACUAGGCAAAAUGGUGCCGUAACUUCGGGAGAAGGCACGCUGAUGUGUAGGUGAAGUCCCUGCGGACGGAGCUGAAAUCAGUCGAAGAUACCAGCUGGCUGCAACUGUUUAUUAAAAACACAGCACUGUGCAAACACGAAAGUGGACGUAUACGGUGUGACGCCUGCCCGGUGCCGGAAGGUUAAUUGAUGGGGUUAGCUGUAAGGCGAAGCUCUUGAUCGAAGCCCCGGUAAACGGCGGCCGUAACUAUAACGGUCCUAAGGUAGCGAAAUUCCUUGUCGGGUAAGUUCCGACCUGCACGAAUGGCGUAAUGAUGGCCAGGCUGUCUCCACCCGAGACUCAGUGAAAUUGAACUCGCUGUGAAGAUGCAGUGUACCCGCGGCAAGACGGAAAGACCCCGUGAACCUUUACUAUAGCUUGACACUGAACACUGGUCCUUGAUGUGUAGGAUAGGUGGGAGGCUUUGAAGCGUGGACGCCAGUCUGCGUGGAGCCGCCCUUGAAAUACCACCCUUUAAUGGCUGGUGUUCUAACGUAGACCCGUAAUCCGGGUUGCGGACAGUGUCUGGUGGGUAGUUUGACUGGGGCGGUCUCCUCCCAAAGAGUAACGGAGGAGCACGAAGGUUGGCUAAUCCUGGUCGGACAUCAGGAGGUUAGUGCAAUGGCAUAAGCCAGCUUGACUGCGAGCGUGACGGCGCGAGCAGGUGCGAAAGCAGGUCAUAGUGAUCCGGUGGUUCUGAAUGGAAGGGCCAUCGCUCAACGGAUAAAAGGUACUCCGGGGAUAACAGGCUGAUACCGCCCAAGAGUUCAUAUCGACGGCGGUGUUUGGCACCUCGAUGUCGGCUCAUCACAUCCUGGGGCUGAAGUAGGUCCCAAGGGUAUGGCUGUUCGCCAUUUAAAGUGGUACGCGAGCUGGGUUUAGAACGUCGUGAGACAGUUCGGUCCCUAUCUGCCGUGGGCGCUGGAGAAUUGAGGGGGGCUGCUCCUAGUACGAGAGGACCGGAGUGGACGCAUCACUGGUGUUCGGGUUGUCAUGCCAAUGGCACUGCCCGGUAGCUAAAUGCGGAAGAGAUAAGUGCUGAAAGCAUCUAAGCACGAAACUUGCCCCGAGAUGAGUUCUCCCUGAGACUUUAAGUCUCCUGAAGGAACGUUGAAGACGACGACGUUGAUAGGUCGGGUGUGUAAGCGCAGCGAUGCGUUGAGCUAACCGAUACUAAUGAACCGUGAGGCUUAACCUUACAACGCCGAAGGUGUUU
rnacentral:rRNA from 1 species